rnacentral:rRNA from 1 species
CCUACGGGAGGCAGCAGUGGGGAAUCUUGCGCAAUGGGCGAAAGCCUGACGCAGCAACGCCGCGUGCGGGAAGAAGGCUUUCGGGCUGUAAACCGCUUUCAGCAGGAACGAAAAUGACGGUACCUGCAGAAGAAGGAGCGGCCAACUAUGUGCCAGCAGCCGCGGUGAUACAUAGGCUUCAAGCGUUGUCCGGAUUUAUUGGGCGUAAAGAGUUCGUAGGCGGUCGAGUAAGUCGGGUGUGAAAAUUCUGGGCUCAACCCAGAGACGCCACCCGAUACUGCUUAACUUGAGUUCGAUAGGGGAGUGGGGAAUUCCUAGUGUAGCGGUGAAAUGCGCAGAUAUUAGGAGGAACACCGGUGGCGAAGGCGCCACUCUGGAUCGAUACUGACGCUGAGGAACGAAAGCAUGGGUAGCAAACAGGAUUAGAUACCCUGGUAGUCCAUGCCGUAAACGGUGGGCACUAGGUGUGGGAUUCUAUUAACGAAUUCCGCGCCGUCGCUAACGCAUUAAGUGCCCCGCCUGGGGAGUACGGUCGCAAGACUAAAACUCAAAUGAAUUGACGG